CGGCAGGCCCGCCUCACGGCCGCCGGGGGGCUUCUCGCCCCGGGCCCGCGCCUGCCGGAGACACCUUUGAACGCUGUCUGAAGUUUGCAGUCUGAGCGAUUAGCUAAAUUAGUUAAAACUUUCAACAACGGAUCUCUUGGUUCCGGCAUCGAUGAAGAACGCAGCGAAAUGCGAUAAUUAAUGUGAAUUGCAGAAUUCAGUGAAUCAUCGAGUCUUUGAACGCACAUUGCGCCCUGGUAUUCCGGGGGGCAUGCCUGUCCGAGCGUCAUUGCUGCCCUCAAGCCCGGCUUGUGUGUUGGGCCUCGUCCCCUCUGCGGGACGGGCCCGAAAGGCAGCGGCGGCACCGUGUCCGGUCCUCGAGCGUAUGGGGCUUUGUCACCCGCUCUGUAGGCCCGGCCGGCGCCUUAGCCGACGACACAAUCUUUUUUUU
rnacentral:misc_RNA from 1 species